GCUCAUUCAAGUGCUCUGGUCUGGUUUUUGAUUCUACAUCAACCUUCGAUAUUCUACUUCAUCUUUAAAACUUCACAGCUCAUUCAAGUGCUCCAGUCUGGUUUUUGAUUCUACAUCAUCCUUCAAUAUUCUACUUCAUAUUUAAAACUUCACAGCUCAUUCAAGU